AGUGAACGCUGGCGGUAGGCCUAACACAUGCAAGUCGAACGGCAGCACAGAGGAGCUUGCUCCUUGGGUGGCGAGUGGCGGACGGGUGAGGAAUACAUCGGAAUCUACUCUGUCGUGGGGGAUAACGUAGGGAAACUUACGCUAAUACCGCAUACGACCUACGGGUGAAAGCAGGGGAUCUUCGGACCUUGCGCGAUUGAAUGAGCCGAUGUCGGAUUAGCUAGUUGGCGGGGUAAAGGCCCACCAAGGCGACGAUCCGUAGCGGGUCUGAGAGGAUGAUCAGCCACACUGGAACUGAGACACGGUCCAGACUCCUACGGGAGGCAGCAGUGGGGAAUAUUGGACAAUGGGCGAAAGCCUGAUCCAGCCAUACCGCGUGGGUGAAGAAGGCCUUCGGGUUGUAAAGGCCUUUUGUUGGGAAAGAAAUCCAUCUGGUUAAUACCCGGGUGGGAUGACGGUACCCAAAGAAUAAGCACCGGCUAACUUCGUGCCAGCCGCCGCAGUAA
rnacentral:rRNA from 1 species